rnacentral:lncRNA from 1 species
AAUAUGCAAGUUGGAGGAGGCUCUAUUCUGCUGUGGAACACAGAGAAUGAAUAUUGCGGUCUAAGCAAAGGGCAGGAUUUCUCCCCCUCUGCCCACAAGAAAACAGAUUGUGCAUGUAUUAUCAUAUGA